ACUACGGGGGGCAGCAGUGAGGAAUAUUGGUCAAUGGCCGGAAGGCUGAACCAGCCAUGCCGCGUGAAGGGCAGGGGCCUAGGGGCGUGAAACUUCUUUUGUGCGGGAGCAAGAAUGGUCACGUGUGGCCAGACGAGAGUACCGUACGAAUAAGCAGCGGCUAACUCCGUGCCAGCAGCCGCGGUAAGACGGGGGAUGCAAGCGUUAACAGGAUUUAUUGGGUUUCAAGGGUGCGUAGGCUGUGAGGUAAGUCAGCGGUGAAAUGCCCCCGCUCAACGGGGUGGAGUGCCAUUGAUACGGCCUUGCUGGACUGCGGAUGCCUUGGGAGGAAUGUGUGGUGUAGCGGUGAAAUGC
rnacentral:rRNA from 1 species